rnacentral:lncRNA from 1 species
GCCGCUGCCAAAACUGAGGUCUGAUGUGUGCUGUGUGUGCACUUCUGCAUAUGCUGCAUUUGCAUAUGUUAUUCCUGGUUUAAGGCUGAAUAAUGGAUUCAGGUUCUGAGCAGGAGCAACUCUACAGAAGUGAUUAGCCAGGCGAUGCUCAGUUCUGGGCUCAGAAAGUGAAGAGCGUCACCACCUAAAAAGCAAAGUAAAUUAAUUCCACGGUGUUAAAACUAACUACAAGUAAACCCGAGAGAGCCAACGAUGGGAAUAAUGUGAAAUCCAGGAUUUGCUUCAGGAAGGGUCCACGGCAGAGAUGAGCCAGCAGCAAGGGUGGAAAUAAAAAGUAGAGCCCAAUCUGGACUGUCGGAAGUGUAAGACUCAUCCUAAACUGAAGAAGGAGCCAACAAACGUUGAAAGAAGACAGAGUGGGGCACGAGCCUGGGGAUGCUAGCUGGAUCCUCUGGAGGACAGCCCGGAGAUGCAGGGACCAGACACAAGCCCGCACAUCUGGAAGUCACUGCAGUGAUGUGAUCUAGAACAGAGGCUAAGAGCUUGGAGAGGAGCGACAGAGGCCAAGGUCAGGUGAGAGGUCUACCAACUAGAAGAGGGAGAGGAAGUCAGGACAAUGGACAGGGUCACGGCAGCGCGCCUGAGGCGUCUGGGGCGCAUCUUGCUUAUUAAACAGUGAUGCAAGGACCUGCAUCACUAUUUCUGCCAGAAGCUCCGUGGGUGAGUCCACCAAACUGCUGGGGUGGAGAACCACUGACGUUUGGGGCCAAGGUGGCUGAAGUGGGCUCUGAACUGAGGCAAAGAGCAGGGAAGAAGAGGUCAUUGGAGGAAGCCUGCUGGGCUGAGUUUGCAGUGCCUCCAGCACGUCCUUCUGGAGAGGUUGGUUCAUCCACACCUGUUCAUCCACAAGAGUGGAGGAGCCACCUUCACCAGGAAGAGCUUCUGUCAAGGUAGAGAUGGCAUCUGUCCUAGGAAGCUCAGGCUGCUGUGAAAAAAUACCAGACACCAAGUGGCUUAAAAAGCAGGCAUCUCUUUCCUUACAGUCCUGAGGACCUGCAGUUCAAGAUCAAGAUGUGCUCAUAGCUGCUGUCUACUGAGACCCCUCUCCCUGGCUUGCGGGCAGUGAUUUCUUGCUGUGCCCUCACGUGCCCGCAUUCCUGGCGUCUCUUUUUGUCCUAAUCUCCCCUUCUUAUGAGGACAUCCUUCGGAUCAGAUUAGGGCCCACCCUGAUGGCCUCAUUUUAGCUUAAUCAUGUUCUUAAAGGCCUUAUCUCUAAAUACAGUCCAUUCUGAGAUACCAGGUGCUGAAGUGGGGAGGCAUAUAAUUCAGCUGUAAAUGCUUCUUCGUGGUGAUGGGCAAAUGUCAGCUUUGCCCACUGAGCCCUGAAGGAACCACCGGUCCACAGGUCCCAUCUGAUAAGGAGACCUUCUAGUUUGGGGGCGAGGGGAUGGGUCUUGCUGGGUUGACCUCCCUGUAGCCCACCUCCCCCAGACCAUGGAUGGAUCGACGCUUGCUGUGUGUCUGAUGAACCAUCUCAUUUCAUCCUCACACCAGCCAGCAUGCACUAUCUGGCAUCACUCUCUCUGUUUCUAAGAUGAAAACAGCUUUGGCAUGAAGGUGUGACCUGCUAGAGGUCCCCCUGCGGGGAGACCUUGACCUUGGCUCAUCUGGACUCUCCAGAGCCCAUGACCUUAACCCCGUACCGUACAGCUUCUCCUCGAAUUAUUUGAACCAGAAUUUCUUUGGCUUAGAAACAUCUCUGAUUCUUUUAGAACUAAAAGUUCUUAAGAAUUCGCAGGUCAAGGAGGUGACCUUCUGUCAAAGGUUUCAAACUGUUUCUUAUCCCUGUGACUCUGAAAACCCUUCACAAUGUCGUAGAUGUGACGAUGGGUGGCUGGGACGUUCUCUGGUUGGCCUCACAGCAGGAUCAUUCCCGGUCUUCUCAGGAGCCCCAACAGCAAGAGAGAGAAGCAAAGGAGAGAUAAUGGCCCCAGGGGCGGCACGGAAAAGAGGCGGCAAUGACCGGGGAAGGGUAUUUUGAUUUCUGUCUCCCAGCAACACCCAGGGGACUGUUCCAGAGAAUGAACUGAGCUGAGUAAGUUAUGUGGUCCAGGAGUUGCAAAAGUGGUCCAUGCCUGGUGGUGGUGGAAUAGACGUUGAGGGGAGUAGAGAAAUCUCCCUGGGCAUCACAGCAUGGACGUGGGGCAAACAGAGCAUCCAAGGAGUCAACACAAACAUCUAUAUAUUUUUUAAAUUUUUUUGUCUUUUUCAGGCCACUCUUGCAGCAUAUGGAAGUUCCCAGGCUAAGGAUCAAAUCAAAGCUGCAGCUGCCUGCCGACACCACAGCCACAGCAACACCAGAUCCAAGUGUCGUCUGCGACCUACACCACAGCUCAUGGCAACACCGGAUCCUUAACCCACUGAGGGAGGCCACAGAUCAAACCUGCAUCGUCAUGGAUACUAGACGGGCUUGUUACCGCUGAGUCACAAUAGAGCCUCCCAAACAUCCUUAUCUUGGUCACCAGCAGCCAGUCACUUUCAACCAUAGAACUGACCCCUUGGUGGAAGACGGAUGGUUUGCCAGCUUCAUGUAAGAGACACCACUACUGGAGUUCCCCAGUGGCCUAGCAGGUUAAGGAUCCAACGUUGUCACUGCGGUGGCAUGUGUUUGAUCCCUGGCCCAGGAAUGUCUGCAUGCUGUGGGGGCAGCCAAAUGAGAAAAAAAAAAAAAAAA